rnacentral:rRNA from 1 species
GAUGAACGCUAGCUACAGGCUUAACACAUGCAAGUCGAGGGGCAGCACAAGGUAGCAAUACUGAGGUGGCGACCGGCGCACGGGUGAGUAACACGUAUCCAACCUGCCGUUUACUCUUGGAUAGCCUUCUGAAAAGGAGAUUAAUACAAGAUAGUAUCAUGAGAUCACAUGUUCACAUGAUUAAAGAAUUUCGGUAAACGAUGGGGAUGCGUUCCAUUAGAGUAGUAGGCGGGUAACGCCCACCUAGUCUACGAUGGAUAGGGGUUCUGAGAGGAAGGUCCCCCAAACUGGUACUGAGACACGGACCAGACUCCUACGGGAGCAGCAGUGA